CUAGGAUGAAAAUUCUAAGGCGCUUGAGAGAACUCAGGAGAAGGAACUCGGCAAAUUAACACCGUAACUUCGGGAGAAGGUGUGCCCCGGUAGGUUGUAGCGCUUCGCGCGCGAAGGCCGAUGGGGUUGCAGUGAAAUGGUGGCUGCGACUGUUUAAUAAAAACACAGCUCUCUGCAAACACGAAAGUGGACGUAUAGGGAGUGACGCCUGCCCGGUGCCGGAAGGUUAAUUGAUGGGGUGCAAGCUCUUGAUCGAAGCCCCGGUAAACGGCGGCCGUAACAAUAACGGUCCUAAGGUAGCGAAAUUCCUUGUCGGGUAAGUUCCGACCUGCACGAAUGGCGUAACGAUGGCCACACUGUCUCCUCCUGAGACUCAGCGAAGUUGAAAUGUUUGUGAAGAUGCAAUCUCCCCGCGGCAAGACGGAAAGACCCCAUGAACCUUUACUGUAGCUUUGCAUUGGACUUUGAACCGGUCUGUGUAGGAUAGGUGGGAGACUAUGAAACCGGGACGCUAGUCUCGGUGGAGUCAACCUUGAAAUACCACCCUGGUUUGUUUGAGGUUCUAACCUUGAUCCGUGAAUCCGGAUCGGGGACCGUGCAUGGUGGGCAGUUUGACUGGGGCGGUCUCCUCCCAAAAGGUAACGGAGGAGUACGAAGGUACGCUUAGGGCGGUCGGACAUCGCCCAUAAAGUGCAAUGGCAAAAGCGUGCUUGACUGCGAGACCCACAAGUCGAGCAGGUGCGAAAGCAGGUCAUAGUGAUCCGGUGGUUCUGUAUGGAAGGGCCAUCGCUCAACGGAUAAAAGGUACUCUGGGGAUAACAGGCCUAUACCGCCCAAGAGUUCAUAUCGACGGCGGUGUUUGGCACCUCGAUGUCGGCUCAUCUCAUCCUGGGGCUGUAGCCGGUCCCAAGGGUAUGGCUGUUCGCCAUUUAAAGGGGUACGUGAGCUGGGUUUAAAACGUCGUGAGACAGUUUGGUCCCUAUCUGCCGUGGGCGCUGGAAAUUUGAAGGGGGCUGCUCCUAGUACGAGAGGACCGGAGUGGACGAACCUCUGGUGUACCGGUUAUGACGCCAGUCGUAUCGCCGGGUAGCUAUGUUCGGAAGAGAUAAACGCUGAAAGCAUCUAAGCGUGAAACUCGCCUUAAGAUAAGAUUUCCCGGAGUCUUGAACUCCUUAAAGGGUCGUCGAAGACCACGACGUUGAUAGGUCAGGUGUGGAAGCGCAGUAAUGCGUUAAGCUAACUGAUACUAAUUGCCCGUAAGGCUUGAU
rnacentral:rRNA from 1 species